rnacentral:rRNA from 1 species
CCUACGGGAGGCAGCAGUGAGGAAUAUUGGUCAAUGGCCGGAAGGCUGAACCAGCCAAGCCGCGUGAGGGAGGAAGGCGCAGAGCGUCGCAGACCUCUUUUGCCUGGGGACAAAAUGCCGGACUCGUCCGGUCCUGAGGGUACCCGGAGAACAAGCAUCGGCUAACUCCGUGCCAGCAGCCGCGGUAAUACGGAGGAUGCGAGCGUUAUCCGGAUUCAUUGGGUUUAAAGGGUGCGCAGGCGGACCUUUAAGCCGGCGGUGAAAUCGCGGGGCUCAACCCCGCGUAGCCGUCGGAACUGGGUGUCGUGAGUGCAGUGGAGGCAUGCGGAAUGCGUGGUGUAGCGGUGAAAUGCAUAGAUAUCGCGCAGAACCCCGAUUGCGAAGGCAGUGUGCCGUGCCGCCACUGACGCUGAGGCACGAAAGCGUGGGGAUCGAACAGGAUUAGAUACCCUAGUAGUC